CAGCCGCCGCGGGAAUACGGAGGAUGCAAGCGUUAUCCGGAAUCAUUGGGUUUAAAGGGUCCGUAGGCGGUUUAAUAAGUCAGUGGUGAAAGCCCAUCGCUCAACGAUGGAACGGCCAUUGAUACUGUUAAACUUGAAUUAUUAGGAAGUAACUAGAAUAUGUAGUGUAGCGGUGAAAUGCUUAGAGAUUACAUGGAAUACCAAUUGCGAAGGCAGGUUACUACUAAUAUAUUGACGCUGAUGGACGAAAGCGUGGGGAGCGAACAGGAUUAGAUACCCGAGUAGUCCCUGUCUCUUAUAC
rnacentral:rRNA from 1 species